rnacentral:rRNA from 1 species
GAAGGGCCAUCGCUCAACGGAUAAAAGGUACUCCGGGGAUAACAGGCUGAUACCGCCCAAGAGUUCAUAUCGACGGCGGUGUUUGGCACCUCGAUGUCGGCUCAUCACAUCCUGGGGCUGAAGUAGGUCCCAAGGGUAUGGCUGUUCGCCAUUUAAAGUGGUACGCGAGCUGGGUUUAGAACGUCGUGAGACAGUUCGGUCCCUAUCUGCCGUGGGCGCUGGAGAACUGAGGGGGGCUGCUCCUAGUACGAGAGGACCGGAGUGGACGCAUCACUGGUGUUCGGGUUGUCAUGCCAAUGGCACUGCCCGGUAGCUAAAUGCGGAAGAGAUAAGUGCUGAAAGCAUCUAAGCACGAAACUUGCCCCGAGAUGAGUUCUCCCUGACCCUUUAAGGGUCCUGAAGGAACGUUGAAGACGACGACGUUGAUAGGCCGGGUGUGUAAGCGCAGCGAUGCGUUGAGCUAACCGGUACUA